CAAUCAGCUAAAGGGAGGAAUAGAAAUACCAUGUAUAUAUUAUGUGUAUUAUUUGAGUUCCGCACAGCCACUGGUCCCCAGAUUUGGAGUUGACAGUCCCUGUCCCUGUGUAGUGCUGAGGGAGUCGGUGUGAAGCCUGUGUUCCUCUGAGAGAUAGAGAUCGUUCAUGGGGUCGCCUGAGACCACCCAUCCCAGUGAGACUCUUCCUUCUCCCGUUCCCCAGGCUGCUGGUCUUGAAAAGCAGAAACAGUGCCGAAACCGAGGAGCAGAUCCUCAGCAGAUGUCCGCGGCAGGAGCUGGGCUGCCCCCAAAUUACAGCAGCUGAGCCCCAGGGGCUGCUGUGCUCCAAGAGAUAAAUCACCCUGCAGUGACCUCCCG
rnacentral:lncRNA from 1 species